GUGCUCGCUUCAGCAGCGCAUGUACCAAAAUUGGAAUGAUAGCACACGGAGGAUUAGCAAGGCCCCUGUGCAAGGAUGGCAUGAAAACUGGUAAAGCAUUCCACAAAAGA